rnacentral:rRNA from 1 species
UACGUAGGGGGCUAGCGUUGUCCGGAAUCAUUGGGCGUAAAGAGCGUGUAGGCGGCUCGGUAAGUCCGCUGUAAAAGUCAAAGGCUCAACCUUUGAAUGUCAGUGGAUACUGCCGGGCUAGAGUCCGGAAGGGGCGAGUGGAAUUCCUGGUGUAGCGGUGAAAUGCGCAGAUAUCAGGAGGAACACCUAUGGGCGAAGGCGGCUCUCUGGUACGUGACUGACGCUGAGACGCGAAA